GAGAGGAUAGCAUAAAGUGUGAUUGACUUGAAAUCAAUUGAUGGCGGUUAAAAGUCCGUCUCUUCUCG
rnacentral:tRNA from 1 species